rnacentral:snRNA from 1 species
GUGCUUUCUUCAGCAGCACAUAUACUAAAAUUGCAACAAUACAAAGAUUAGCAUGGCCCCUGCAUAAGGACGACACAUAAAUUCGUGAAGUGUUCCAUAUUAAA